GAUGAACGCUGGCGGCGUGCCUAAUACAUGCAAGUCGAGCGAACAGACGAGGAGCUUGCUCCUCGGACGUUAGCGGCGGACGGGUGAGUAACACGUGGAUAACGUACCUAUAAGACUGGGAUAACUUCGGGAAACCGGAGCUAAUACCGGAGAAGAUAUUGAAGCGCAGGGUUCAAUAGUGAAAGACGGUGUUGCUGGCACUUAUAGAUGGAUCCGCGCCGCAUUAGCUAGUUGGUCAGGUAAAGGCUUACCAAGGCAACGAUGCGUAGCCGAGCUGAGAGGGUGAUCGGCCACACUGGAACUGAGACACGGUCCAGACUCCUACGGGAGGCAGCAGUAGGGAAUCUUCCGCAAUGGGCGAAAGCCUGACGGAGCAACGCCGCGUGAGUGAUGAAGGUCUUCGGAUCGUAAAACUCUGUUAUUAGGGAAGAACAAAUGUGUAAGUAACUAUGCACGUCUUGACGGUACCUAAUCAGAAAGCCACGGCUAACUACGUG
rnacentral:rRNA from 1 species